UGGGGAAUAUUGCACAAUGGGCGCAAGCCUGAUGCAGCCAUGCCGCGUGUAUGAAGAAGGCCUUCGGGUUGUAAAGUACUUUUAGCGGGGAGGAAGGGAGUAAAGUUAAUACCUUUGCUCAUUGACGUUACCCGCAGAAGAAGCACCGGCUAACUCCGUGCCAGCAGCCGCGGUAAUACGGAGGGUGCAAGCGUUAAUCGGAAUUACUGGGCGUAAAGCGCACGCAGGCGGUUUGUUAAGUCAGAUGUGAAAUCCCCGGGCUCAACCUGGGAACUGCAUCUGAUACUGGCAAGCUUGAGUCUCGUAGAGGGGGGUAGAAUUCCGAGUGUAGCGGUGAAAUGCGUAGAGAUCAAAAGGAAUACCAAUGGCGAAGGCGGCCCCCUGGGCGAAGACUGACGCUCAGGUGCGAAAGCGUGGGGAGCAAACAGG
rnacentral:rRNA from 1 species